rnacentral:rRNA from 1 species
GAUGAACGCUGGCUGCGUGCCUAAUACAUGCAAGUCGAGCGAACAGACGGGGAGCUUGCUCCUCUGACGUUAGCGGCGGACGGGUGAGUAACACGUGGAUAACCUACCUAUAAGACUGGGAUAACUUCGGGAAACCGGAGCUAAUACCUGCUAAUAUAUUUAACCUCAUGGUUCAAUAGUGAAAGACGGUUUUGCUGUCACUUAUAGAUGGAUCCGCGCCGCAUUAGCUAUUUGGUAAGGUAACGGCUUACCAAGGCAACGAUGCGUAGCCGACCUGAGAGGGUGAUCGGCCACACUGGAACUGAGACACGGUCCAGACUCCUACGGGAGGCAGCAGUAGGGAAUCUUACGCAAUGGGAGAAAGCCUGACGGAGCAACGCCGCGUGAGUGAUGAAGGUCUUCGGAUCGUAAAACUCUGUUAUUAGGGAAGAACAAAUGUGUAAGUAACUAUGCACGUCUUGACGGUACCGAAUCAGAAAGCCACGGCUAACUACGUG